AUUGAACGCUGGCGGCAUGCUUUACACAUGCAAGUCGAACGGUAACAGGCCUUCGGGUGCUGACGAGUGGCGAACGGGUGAGUAAUGCAUCGGAACGUGCCCAGAGGUGGGGGAUAACGCAGCGAAAGCUGUGCUAAUACCGCAUGUGAUCUGCGGAUGAAAGCGGGGGACCAGGCAGCAAUGUUUGGCCUCGCGCCUUUGGAGCGGCCGAUGUCAGAUUAGGUAGUUGGUGGGGUAAAGGCCUACCAAGCCGACGAUCUGUAGCUGGUCUGAGAGGACGACCAGCCACACUGGGACUGAGACACGGCCCAGACUCCUACGGGAGGCAGCAGUGGGGAAGUUUGGACAAUGGGCGCAAGCCUGAUCCAGCAAUGCCGCGUGCGGGAAGAAGGCCUUCGGGUUGUAAACCGCUUUUGUACGGAACGAAAAGGCUCUGGCUAAUACCUGGGGCUGAUGACGGUACCGUAAGAAUAAGCACCGGCUAACUACGUG
rnacentral:rRNA from 1 species